rnacentral:rRNA from 1 species
UACGUAGGGGGCAAGCGUUGUCCGGAAUCAUUGGGCGUAAAGAGCGCGUAGGCGGCCCUGUAAGUCCGCUGUGAAAGUCAAGGGCUCAACCCUUGAAUGCCGGUGGAUACUGCAGGGCUAGAGUCCGGAAGAGGCGAGUGGAAUUCCUGGUGUAGCGGUGAAAUGCGUAGAGAUGUGGAGGAAUACCGAUGGCGAAGGCAGCCCCCUGGGAUAACACUGACGCUCAUGCACGAAAGCGUGGGGAGCAAACAGG